AAGACCCUUAAUAGUAUGCUUAUAUAAUUUCACGUUGCCCUGCAUUACAUAAAGAGGGGCAAAACUCCGAGGCUCUUAUUCGGAUUAAAAGCGUAGCUCAGUACCUUUAUUUGAGAAAGAACCCAUCCAUGUUCAGAGAUGAGAGUUCUCCGCCAGUCUACUGGUGAUAACCAUUUGAUUCUGCACUUGGGAAUAAAUUUUCUGAUAGCUGAUGAUAUGCUUGGAAUACUUGCUGUCAAGCUAAAGAAAGGAUCGGCUUUGGCUUUGGUAUAUGCAUUAUGAUGGAAACUUUGGUUUAAUUAUAGUGGGCAGAUUAUGACUUAUGUUAUUGAAUAUAUUCAUAGUGGGCAGUGAAGACUCGGAAAGUAUACACCCAAGAUGAACUUGACGAGGUCCGCAUUGAAGUAGCUGACUAUUUGCAGACUUUGCUAUAGAUGCUGACUCUACCAAAGUGAUUUUGAGUAAGGCUAGCUAGAUUUUGUAGAAUCAUUUUGAAGUAGAACGUUGUAUAGUUGCAGGUGAACUAAAC